rnacentral:rRNA from 1 species
AAAGCCUGACGCAGCGACGCCGCGUGAGGGAUGAAGGUUCUCGGAUCGUAAACCUCUGUCAGAAGGGAAGAAACCGCACCGUGCUAAUCAGCGGUGCAUUGACGGUACCGAAUGAAUAAGCCACGGCUAACUACGUGCCAGCAGCCGCGGUAAUACGUAGGUGGCAAGCGUUAUCCGGAUUUACUGGGUGUAAAGGGCGUGUAGGCGGGACUGCAAGUCAGAUGUGAAACCCAUGGGCUCAACCCAUGGCCUGCAUUUGAAACUGUGGUUCUUGAGUGUCGGAGAGGUAAUCGGAAUUCCGUGUGUAGCGGUGAAAUGCGUAGAUAUACGGAGGAACACCAGUGGCGAAGGCGGAUUACUGGACGAUAACUGACGCUGAGGCGCGAAAGCGUGGGGAGCAAACA